rnacentral:rRNA from 1 species
UACGUAGGGUGCAAGCGUUGUCCGGAAUUAUUGGGCGUAAAGAGCUCGUAGGCGGUUUGUUGCGUCGGCUGUGAAAUCCCGAGGCUCAACCUCGGGUCUGCAGUCGAUACGAGCAAACUAGAGUGUUGCAGGGGAGACUGGAAUUCCUGGUGUAGCGGUGAAAUGCGCAGAUAUCAGGAGGGAACACCGGUGGCGAAGGCGGGUCUCUGGGCAACAACUGACGCUGGAGGAGCGAAAGCGUAGGGAGCGAACAGG